rnacentral:rRNA from 1 species
UACAUAGGUGGCAAGCGUUGUUCGGAAUUACUGGGCGUAAAGGGCGCGUAGGCGGUCUUGUAAGUCUUGUGUGAAAUCCCUCGGCUUAACUGAGGAACUGCACGGGAUACUGCGAGACUUGAGAUCGGGAGAGGGAAGCGGAAUUCCGGGUGUAGCGGUGAAAUGCGUAGAUAUCCGGAGGAACACCGGUGGCGAAGGCGGCUUCCUGGACCGACACUGACGCUGAGGCGCGAAAGCUAGGGGAGCAAACGGG